rnacentral:lncRNA from 1 species
AAAAAGAAUGAAUUUCAAACCAAAAGAGUAGCAUAUGCCUUCCGGGAAAAUAAACUGUUUCUGAAGUCAAUAAUUUAUUCUUUGCUCAUAGCAAGCGUACAUCCUUCCCAACUUAAAAUAAUCAAAAAUUUCAAUCAAACUUACUUUCACCUUAGACCCUUUCCUCUUCUUCAUUGGUCUCUCAGAAUUAUAGCUUACACCCAUAGUUUCAAUUUUUUCACUUUUCAUUUACUCCUCAGUCAUUAACAUUUGGCUUCCAUUCUUAAAACUCUACCAAAAUAAUCCUUGAUGAUUGCUUUGCCAUUAAAUGACUGUAUUUAAUGAUCACUUUACGUGACCCCUCAGCAUCACUCAAUAAUAUUGUCCCCUUCUUCUUUCCGGGAAAUCUUUCUUUCCAUUUGCAUCAAUGACAUCACAAUCUGGUUUUCCUACUGUUUCCAGAUUACUCUUUUUCUGACCCUUUUUCUUUUUUUUUUCAUGUAAUACCAUUUUAAUAAGCCAUGUAUGUUUAUUAUUUAAUUACAUGUUUGUUAUGCACAAACUGCUCUUAUACAGUUCUGUUAGCCAGUAUAAUAACGUUUUUAACUUUGUCGAUAACAAACUUGUAUUUGUAAUGUAACAUAUGCUGUGCUCUAGUCUAAAAAUUGGUGCUUAAACUGUUCACUAAUUUAAUUAUGUAGGAUGCAAUAUGUUCCAAAAUCCAGUGCACUUAAUUGUAUUUAAAUUUGGUUUUCAUUUAAGAUCCUCACAUGCUAAGAAGUAGAGCAGCCUUGUAGAAUUGAUCCUUUCUCAUUUGAAGCCAAGUCUGAUCAUCUCUUGACACCCAGGUUGGGCUGAAUGCAGAGGAUGGGUCUUAGUUUUUUUUUUUUUUUUUUAUUCAAAGAGCAUUGCAUCUUUCCUAACUCAAGUAGUUUCUAUCCUCAUUUCAGACCUCCAGCUUGACUACUCAUUAACAGAUGAGUUCUGCAGAAACCACUUCUUGGUGGGACUGUUACUGAGGGAGGUGGGGACAGCCCUCCAGGAGUUCCAUCUGAUCGCCAUCAGUGUGCUCAAGAACCUGCUGAUAAAGCAUUCUUUUGAUGACAGAUAUGCUUCAAGGGUGAGUGGUCCCCAAUGGAAGGAAUGUGCAUUAAUAAUGUCCUUUAUUUUAAGUGGUGUAAAGAAAGUAAUCAGUUAGAAAAUUCAUGGUAACAGCACUAAGAUUUUGCUCUGUUUUGGGACUAAAAUCAAAUAUCUGUCUUUAUAGGAAGGAUCCAAAUAAAGGAGAUGGUCAGCGCCAACUUAGUUCGGUUCUCAGAAUCCUGGGCCAAACUUACCAUGUAUGUCUUCUUUUCAGAGUCAUCAGGCAAGGAUAGCCACCCUCCACCUGCCUCUGUUUGGUCUGCUGAUUGAAAACGUCCCGCGGAUCAAUGUGAGGGAUGUGUCACCUUUCCCUGUGAACGUGGGCAUGGUACGUAAGCGUGGUCACGUCAACUCAGC